CGGGGUGCACCAGGCGCGAAAACUCUACAAUGCAGGCAACUGCGAUAGGGGAACAUCGAGUGAUACUCAUCUUGGGUGUCUGUCCUCCCGUCUAAAAAACGGGAGUUAGCAAGGGCCGGGCAAGACCGGUGCCAGCCGCCGCGGUAAUACCGGCGGCUCGAGUGGUGGCCGAUAUUAUUGAGUCUAAAGGGUCCGUAGCCGGCUUUGCAAGUCUUUUGGGAAAUCCAGCGGCUUAACCGUUGGGCGUCCGGGAGAUACUACAUUGCUUGGGACUGGGAGAGGUAGGAGGUACUCAGGGGGUAGGAGUGAAAUCCUGUAAUCCUUUGGGGACCACCGGUGGCGAAGGCGUCCUACCAGAACAGGUCCGACGGUGAGGGACGAAAGCUAGGGGCACGAACCGGAUUAGAUACCCGGGUAGUCCUAGCCGUAAACGAUGCUCGCUAGGUGUCACAACAAUCGUGAAUUGUUGUGGUGCCGUAGGGAAGCCGUGAAGCGAGCCACUUGGGAAGUACGACCGCAAGGUUGAAACUUAAAGGAACG
rnacentral:rRNA from 1 species